rnacentral:rRNA from 1 species
AGGACGAACGCUGGCGGCGUGCCUAACACAUGCAAGUUGAGCGACGAACCAGGGCUUGCCCUGGGGCAAAGCAGCGAACGGGUGAGUAACACGUGGGUAACGUGCCCCGAUAACCGGGACAACCCGAGGAAACUCGGGCUAAUACCGGAUGUGCCCAUCAGACAUCAGUCUGAUGUGUAAAGGAAGCUUCGGCCUCCGUAUCGGGAGCGGCCCGCGGCCCAUUAGCUAGUUGGUGAGGUAACGGCUCACCAAGGCAACGAUGGGUAGCUGGUCUGAGAGGACGAUCAGCCACACUGGGACUGAGACACGGCCCAGACUCCGUACGGGAGCAGCAGGUGGGGAAUCUGCGACAAGUGACGACGAAAGCGUGACGCACGCGAACGGCCGCGGGUGGGGGAAAAAAAAG